AGAGUCGAUUGGACAGUCGCUGCCCUCUAUGAAAAUUAGGGGGGGGAGGAAAGUCCGGGCUCCAUAGGGCGAAGUGCCAGGUAAUGCCUGGGAGGCGUGAGCCUACGGAAAGUGCCACAGAAAAUAACCGCCUAAGCACUUCGGUGCCGGUAAGGGUGAAAAGGUGCGGUAAGAGCGCACCGCACGACUGGCAACAGUUCGUGGCUAGGUAAACCCCACUUGGAGCAAGACCAAAUAGGGUCCCAAGGCGUGGCCCGCGCUGGGACCGGGUAG
rnacentral:RNase_P_RNA from 1 species